AGUUACUUGCACAUCCGGCUUCAACACGCUCUUUCUUCUUGAAGUCACGGUGAAGAAAACCCGCAGUCAGGAAUAUAUUUAGCUGUUAUUUCAGAAGGUAAGUACAAAUUAUAUUUACUUAUACAGGCUGUUUAUCUUCAUAUGAAAUGAUGUGUUAAUUUCAAGUGUGGUGAGACGUGUGACUAAUAGCUAACGUUCGUUGGUUGAAGGGAGGCGAAAUAAGCCAGGAAGUGUAACAUCCAGUGUUGCCAGGUCCGCGGUCGACCUAUUUUGCAUGCAAUUUACAUGAAUAUCUUUAAAUAUUUUUAUUUAUUUAUACCCAAAUCAGCACGUACACACAUUUAAUGUAUGAUAUUCUGUCCUAGCAAUUGUGUGCAUCCUUACAAGGCACAGACAGAUGGCUAACCAAAGAGUGCAGAAGGAAUGACGCUCCGGAAUGUUUUGUUGAUGAACUUUACUUUCAGAUGUUCAUUCUUUAGAUAACUCUGUUGCUCUUUUUUCAGGUAAAACUAUAAAAUAAACAGAAAGACAACAUAUCACAUAUGUCUCAUAAAGAAGCAAAAUGCUAAACAUAUCUGACAAUAACCACAAGCUACAUAUGCCAGCAUAGAUUCAUGCCGGCGGCUUUCUUGGACAAGCUUAACUCAGUAAAUUAAGACAGAACACUCCCCGUCUGGUACGAUUAAUAUUAUACCACUACAUUACUACAUUAUCCCGGGAAAGCAGCAAAACAACAUCGUUAAUGGGUCUCAGAUAUUCUUUUACAGUGCUGACCAUGACCUUACGAACUCUGUUGUCACUGCUCGGUAUGGCUUUAGAGAUGAGUCCGACUGGCCACUCUUUGCGUAGGACGACGUCACCUUCCUGAAGGUUUGGCCUGCUCUCUGUCCAUUUCCUUCGAGGCUGUAGAGUUGUUUGAUAUUCCUGUCCCCAUCUUUUCCAGAAAGAGUCCGCCAUGUUCUGGACUUGUCGCCACUGACUUUUUUGCAGAUGAUCCAUUUUGAAGUCGCCGGGAGGGGCAGGAGCAUCGCAGGUGAGAGGACUUGAGGAACCUCUGUGUCGGACAAUAUGGGGGUCAAAGGUCACGAUGGCCAACACUUUGUGUGUGAGUCGCGUGGCAUGACCAGGUGCAGCCUCGGUCUUGAUUUGUAGCUCUCUGCAGGCCCCGACAAAGUUUGUGCCUCUGUCUGACUGCAGAUGUUGAACUGGCCCCCUAAUAGCCAGGAAACGAUGGAAGGCAUCGAUCACCUCCAGGUGAACGGCCGCCACAACGUCCAGCCCUGUGUGUGUGAAUGGAGGAUCCACAGACACUCUGUCUGCUGGCAGAUCUGACAUUUUCUGAUUUUCAAGCCUUCCUCUCAUCUUCCUACACGUGACGCAUUGGUGGAUUAGACCAGAGAUGAGUUUUUUACCUUUAACGAUCCACAGUCCCGCGCCCAUGGUAAAGUGACGGCCUUGAUGUGCCACUUGAGCAGAGGAUGCUUUUCUUGGUCAGAAAGAUCAGCUGCUUGUAAGCGACCGCCCACUCUCAUUAGUCCCUCGCUGUCAAUGAGGGGAUCUAGUCUCUUGAGUGAGCUGUCUUGUGUUUGGCUUUUGAAUUCAUCUUUGUACGCUUCUCGCUGUAGAGCUUGGCCUGUGAACGUUCUGUCGUGCCAGGUUUCAUGCACGUAUGCCAUUUCUUACAGGUCUGUGUGUCAGUCGAUUGAGAGAAUGACUUUGCUCCAUGGGUGAGUGUGGCAAUAGCUCUCACAAGAGAUUUCCAGCUCGAAAAGCGUUGGAAUCUGUGUGUGCCUAGCGACGGGUUUGUGACCAAUCUCCAUGUCCAGAUAUGCUCCACCACACUGUUUUCUGCUGCAUCUGGCUGUUGGACCCUGUGGAGGCAGAUCUCGCCUACGAUGACCCAGCCCAAAUCUAAGCGCUGUGAGGUCCAUUGUACUGCUCACGUACCUUGUGCACACUCAGGACGUCUCUCCCCAGGAGAAGAAGUAUCUGCGCAUCUGGAUCUAGAGUCCUAGGCAAUAAAUAGAAUGCUUCAAUCAACAGCGUGAUAUCUCUAGAGACCAACAAAUGUAACAAGGUAUGUUUUCUGUUCAAAUGCAAUAUAGUAAGUUCUCUGUUGUGAAUGUUUUGCAGCGUGUUGUCAAAUUAUUUAUCAGUAAUACAGUAAAAACUUUGUAAGUCGAUUUAUAGUGUGUCAGGGUUUUUCUUGUAGAGAAAAUUUGGGUGCGCGCAUAAGUCAAAAAAAGUCUGUGUUCAUCAGGUUCUCAAUAGUAUGUUUCAAGGAGGUGCGCUCACAUCAUGGCAGAGCGGCCAAUCACGCACUCAAUAGCUUGACUGGAAGGUGCGUGCCCCUAGUUAAAAAAGUUAGUCUGGAGCUCUGUGUAUAUUAAGUUACAUGUGCGGAAGGUUGUGUUAUACAGAAAUUAAGUUUUAGGUAUAAGAGGAGUGUUAGUUGAUUCACUGGGUCAACCGGACCAGAAUUUUUUUCAGGAGUUGUGUAAAGUGUUGGCGAGAUUUAUAAUGCAUGAAUGUGUUAAUUUACAGUGAUAAAAAGUUGUAUCUACUAGUAGGGUGAAUGUGUUUAGAAAUGUUAUCUAUAGAGGUUAGUUUAUGCUAAUGUAUUUGUUAUAAUCUAUAGUUUUACUUUAAUCAAUGUUUGACCUGUAAGGUGGUGAUAUGUGAACGAGUAAUUGAUGAUCAUUUUAUAUAGAGAUUGUGAAGACAAGUAGUCACAGUUGUUUGACGAUAACAUCCAUAUGAAUUGGGGUGAGGCUGUGGUGGAUGUCUUUCUGAUUAAAUGUUUUAUGAGUUAAUUGUCAUGUUGAAGGUUUUGUAAAUUUUUUUGUGGAGUGGGAGAUACUGAAGUUAACCUUUUUUUACAGGUUUUUCUGGUGAAUGUGGUCAUGUAAUUUUUUCUCUAAGUUUGUAUGUUUUAUAAGUCAAAAUUGGGCUUUAUUUUUUUGGUUAAGUGUAUAUUUAUUUUGCAGGUGAAUGUAAUUCAUGUCAAUAAAGUUUCUUGUGCAAAACUUUUA